ACACUUUCAUCCCAAACUCCUUGCUCUGUAUCCAAGCUCAAUACCACUUCAACCUACCCUUUUUCAACAUUUUUGGGUAAUGAUUCUAGCUUAAUCUUUGUUAACUUUUUGGUUCUGUUUUUGUGUUGAAAAUGUUUGUUCAUUCUUGGUUGAUCUUUUAAGAGGUUUUAGACUCAAGCUUGUAAAAAUGAUUAACUUUGGGGUUUACACCUUUUUUUUUGGGAUUUCUUGCUCUUGUUACUUUUAUCCACUAUCUUUAAUCAAACUUAGUAUUUUGUUUCAUUUUCUAUUUAUUGUUGACUUGUUGUUCAUAUUUAUUUGGUUGAUGAGAUCUAUUAGAUCA
rnacentral:lncRNA from 1 species